UCUGCAAACAUUCAGACAUACGGCGAAAUCCGCUUUAGAACCGACGCCAUUUUUCAAUUUAGAUCUGGGCAUCGCGUUUCGUAAUUUUCAUAUAAAUAUCGAACUAUUUUGUCGCGUCGUUGGUUAUGUUUUUACUAUAAAUUAUGUACAACAUGGAAGACACAAUGAUAAUAAUGCACUUUUUCCAGGAAAUGUAACCCUAACCUAGAUAAAUGUAUUCAGCAUGUGAAAUAACCUUAAGUGAGAUACGACAGAUCGUCCAAAACGAUUAUUAGAUAUUGAAGACGUAAGGAAAAGGACACAAACCUAACCUAAAGAUAAUUGAGAUGACGUAGUGGACGCUAAAACGAAUGUACAAUAGAGAAACACUGGAAUAAUAUCUUGCGGAUGAUCUCAGCAAUUACAACAAUCGGAAAAUAGCAAUACUUUUAUCCCAUGAAAUGUAACCCUAACCUAGAUAAAUGUAUUCAGCAUGUGAAAUAACCUUAAGUGAGAUACGACAGAUCGUCCAAAACGAUUAUUAGAUAUUGAAGACGUAAGGAAAAGGACACAAACCUAACCUAAAGAUAAUUGAGAUGACGUAGUGGACGCUAAAACGAAUGUGUAAUAGAGAAACACUGGAAUAAUAUCUUGCGGAUGAUCUCCGCAAUUACAACAAUCGGAAAAUAGCAAUACUUUUUACUCGUGUAAUGUUGGUCCGCACGCACGAUCCGUGGCUGCGUUCCAUUUUCAUCGUAAUGGAUGGACCCUUUUGGGUCGGUCCAGGCGAACGAGUCCGGUUAAAGGUUUUCUCCUUAAAGGUUUCUGGUCGUGGCCGUGUCUGGAUAUCACAACGGGGCUACCAUUGAAAAACUUCUAACGAGUAUAUAUUGUGAAGCCGUGCGAGCAGAAGUAAAGCAAGUCGCAAGCCGUUUUAUCGAUGAGAUCUUCGCAUAAAUGAUAAAAUGCGAACGAAAAUGCUCGCAAGAAUUUCUUCUCCCUUAUUUGAAACGCGGCCAAUAAUUAAUUAUUUACUCACAUUAUGCUAUUGGAAAUAUUCUAAUAGGAAUAGCGUGACAACUAAAAUUUUAAAAUAAAAUAUUUUAUCAUGUUUAAA